UACGGGGGGGGCAAGCGUUGUUCGGAAUUACUGGGCGUAAAGGGCUCGUAGGCGGCCAACUAAGUCGGAUGUGAAAUCCCCAGGCUUAACCUGGGAACUGCAUCCGAUACUGGAUGGCUUGAAUUCGGGAGAGGGAUGCAGAAUUCCAGGUGUAGCGGUGAAAUGCGUAGAUAUCAGGAGGAACACCGGUGGCGAAGGCGGUUCUCUGGGCAUGAUCUGACGCUGAGGAGCGAAAGUGUGGGGAGCGAACAGG
rnacentral:rRNA from 1 species